CCCUCCAUUGCUGUCCUUGAUGAUAUUUGACACCAUAACCACUCUCAGAGAUGCAGAACUAAUUGCCAGAAGGAUGAAAAACUAUCUCCCUCAAAUCACAAGGGGAACAAGUAGAAGAAAAGGAAAAGCAUAAAGCCACAGUACUCUAAAACCCAUAGUUUCUACUACGAGUGGGUGGGAAGAGGUAUUAUUACUUUUUUAGCUCAAGGAAGAACUUUUUGCUUUCUUUGGGGAGGGGGAAUGGAACUCAGGACUUUGCACUUUCCAGGCAGGUGCAGUGCUACAUCCCCAGCCCCAAGGAAGAACUUUGUUAUAGUCAGCCAUGCCCAAGAAUAAUAUGAUUUGCCUUGGAGAGGUCAACCUGGAUGAAUCUAUUCACCACUGAAAGAAAGGGGCUAAAGUCAACAGCAAAGAAACCUGGCAUCUACCUUGGUCUCUAACUCCCUAGAGAUGUGCUUAGGCCACAGAGCCACUGUGAGAUCCCAGCCAAAUGACUUUGCCAAGAUAUCCUUAUCACAGUCGAUACUUUUGCUCUUCGAUGCUGAAGACAUAAAACACACACAGGGAGUACAAAUACAAAGAGAUGAAGCCAAAACAAACAAAUAAAUAUGAGGACACAAGAAGGAAAAUCGAGAACAUACCAUGUGCUAUAAAACAAUUGGUCUGCAAAAAGCCCAUUUCAGAGAGUAGGAAAAGUUGCUGGGUUUCUAAAAUUAGAGACUAAAGGGACAUAAUAACCAAAUGAAGGGGCCCCUCACCUGCCUUGCAAGCGCAAGGUCCGGCGUUCGAUCCCAGAUACCAAAAAAAAAGAAAUGCCUGAAACAUUUUCUUCAUCUGAAAAAAGUAAAAG
rnacentral:lncRNA from 1 species